AUGUUUUUUCCUCAUUUUUAAUUUGUAGUUUUACAACAGUUUGGCUCACAGAUCAACUUCAGGUCCACAUAUCCUCACUGCUUUUUCCCCACUUCCACGCCUAUAGCAGAGGAACCUAAUAAUGGAACUGAACUAUGAAAAAAGUUUGAAUUAUUGUUAAGAGAAUAAAUUUUAAGUAGAAAAAAACUGUUUUUUAUGGAAUGAUGAUGGUAAUUUAUUUUCCAGAUGUCAUUGCAGCCAAAGAACCAAGUAGGUGAUGGAGCUUGUGGAAAAUGGAUAUAUGUACAAGAACAUGUGAUAGAAUAUAUGAAUAUCCUGGCCAGCUAGCUACGUUAGUUUUCUCCCUUUCCUGGCAAGUGGCAACAGACCAGUUCCAUAGCACCUUCGUUGGGUGGUGAGGUUGAGAUGUCGCGCGGCAGAGUAGCCAACCAAGGCCUAUUAUUUUUGCAGUCCUAUUGAGGUCUGGCGACAGGUUCAGACUUUCCAGUCAAGGAAUUUAUGCAUUUCUUCAUGCAACAUACAUCCUGUGGUAUGUCUUUGAUCGUGUAACUUCCUAAUGGUGUCAUCAAAGGCUUGAUGGUGAAGAUAUGAUGCUAAUGAGAUGAAUAUUGGUUUGUUGAUCACGUGAAUAGAAAUUUUCACCUAAGAAUAGCUUUCGAAAACUGAGGUCUUAGGCUUUCCAUUUUACUGUACCCAUCCUUCUCUGUUCGACUCUCGAGCGUAGAGAUAACUGUGAUAUGCAUAUUUUCACAUAAGAAUAGCUUUGGGGCAUUAUGUACUAGAAAAGCAUGCUCCAAGGUUAAUGUAUUCUUCCUACUUUCUAUAAGCAUUUUGGUAUGUGGGAAUAGAACACUGUUUAAUUCUUCAUUGCUUUGGGUUUUCAUAACACGUAAUUACCAUUCACAUAUCAUUUCCUGGCAUUGUCAUUUAUAUGCGC